AUUGAACGCUGGCGGCAUGCCUUACACAUGCAAGUCGAACGGUAACAGGUCUUCGGAUGCUGACGAGUGGCGCACGGGUGAGUAAUACAUCGGAACGUGCCCGAUCGUGGGGGAUAACGGAGCGAAAGCUUUGCUAAUACCGCAUACGAUCUACGGAUGAAAGCAGGGGACCGCAAGGCCUUGCGCGGACGGAGCGGCCGAUGGCAGAUUAGGUAGUUGGUGGGAUAAAAGCUUACCAAGCCGACGAUCUGUAGCUGGUCUGAGAGGACGACCAGCCACACUGGGACUGAGACACGGCCCAGACUCCUACGGGAGGCAGCAGUGGGGAAUUUUGGACAAUGGGCGAAAGCCUGAUCCAGCCAUGCCGCGUGCAGGAUGAAGGCCUUCGGGUUGUAAACUGCUUUUGUACGGAACGAAAAGACUCUUUCUAAUAAAGAGGGUCCAUGACGGUACCGUAAGAAUAAGCACCGGCUAACUACGU
rnacentral:rRNA from 1 species